CCUACGGGAGGCAGCAGUCGAGAAUCAUUCACAAUGGGGGAAACCCUGAUGGUGCGACGCCGCGUGGGGGAAUGAAGCUCUUCGGAUUGUAAACCCCUGUCAUGUGGGAGCAAAUUAAAAAGAUAGUACCACAAGAGGAAGAGACGGCUAACUCGGUGCCAGCAGCCGCGGUACUACAGAGGUCUCAAGCGUUGUUCGGAAUCACUGGGCGUAAAGCGUGCGUAGGCGGGUUCGUAAGUCGUGUGUGAAAGGCGCGGGCUCAACCCUCGGACGGCACAUGAUACUGCGAGACUAGAGUAAUGGAGGGGGAACCGGAAUUCUCGGUGUAGCAGUGAAAUGCGUAGAUAUCGAGAGGAACACUCGUGGCGAAGGCGGGUUCCUGGACAUUAACUGACGCUGAGGCACGAAGGCCAGGGGAGCGAAAGGGAUUAGAUACCCUUGUAGUC
rnacentral:rRNA from 1 species